UGGGGAAUAUUGGACAAUGGGCGAAAGCCUGAUCCAGCCAUGCCGCGUGUGUGAAGAAGGCCUUUUGGUUGUAAAGCACUUUAAGCGAGGAGGAGGCUACUAGUACUAAUACUACUGGAUAGUGGACGUUACUCGCAGAAUAAGCACCGGCUAACUCUGUGCCAGCAGCCGCGGUAAUACAGAGGGUGCGAGCGUUAAUCGGAUUUACUGGGCGUAAAGCGUGCGUAGGCGGCUGAUUAAGUCGGAUGUGAAAUCCCUGAGCUUAACUUAGGAAUUGCAUUCGAUACUGGUCAGCUAGAGUAUGGGAGAGGAUGGUAGAGUUCCAGGUGUAGCGGUGAAAUGCAUAGAGAUCUAGAGGAAUACCGAUGGCGAAGGCAGCCAUCUGGCCUAAUACUGACGCUGAGGUACGAAAGCAUGGGGAGCAAACAGG
rnacentral:rRNA from 1 species